GUUGACCUACGGGGCGCAGCAGUGGGGGAUAUUGCACAAUGGGGGGAACCCUGAUGCAGCGACGCCGCGUGGGUGAAGGAGCGUUUCGGCGCGUAAAGCCCUCUCGGCAGGGAAGAGGAUGACGGUACCUGACCAAGAAGCCCCGGCUAACUACGUGCCAGCAGCCGCGGUAAUACGUAGGGGGCAAGCGUUAUUCGGAUUUACUGGGUGUAAAGGGGGCGCAGACGGCAAUGCAAGCCAGGAGUGAAAGCCCGGGGCCCAACCCCGGGACUGCUCUUGGAACUGCAUGGCUGG
rnacentral:rRNA from 1 species